CUUAAUUUUUUGUGAGAUAUUUGGUUUAAUGUCUGUUUUCACAUCAGAUGCUCGGUGUGUUCCUUUAACAUAUCACGUGCCUUUUCUGAGGCUUUAAUGAAAUCACCAGCCAAUUCAAUAGACAUACCAUCAGUUCUUAAUAUUGUUGCCUCUGGGUCACAAAAUGUAUUUUUAAGAUUAGUUUAGGCGAUAAUAUGUAUAUGUAUAAUCUUCAAAUAGCAGUCGAUUAGUUAAAAAAGCGCUAAUUUUAGAAUUUGAUUAAACAAAUGCGGAGGGUUCAGGCGCGAGUCGGUCACGUGAUGUGCUCCUCAGUUCUGUCAGUAGGGGGAGUGGGAGAACGCGUGUGUGUCGUCGUAUCUGUUCUGCUCAUCUAGCGCGUAUUUCUUUAUUAAUAUCUGCUGGGUGAAUAUUAAUACGUAUAUGCUAACAUUAAUUUUGUGACCACAAAAUGACAGAGAGCUAUUAUACGAGAUAUUGUGUCGUCGUGUUUGUCUUCACUCACUUCAUCUGCAAACAACUUCUGCAACUACACAAUGAUUGUCUGCGUGUGUGCAAAAUAAAGCACGUUCACUGUGUAAAACCCCGCGCAGGGCAUUUUCAAAUUAACGGUCAGGGCGAGUCUGAGCUUAUCGUGUUGUGUUGACAAGAGACUUUGCUGAGUGUAUGUAAAUCUGGGCUACAGUCCACGACAAAUUUUCUACGGUAGUUUUACGCCUGCACGCUCGUCAUCUCGUCUAUCGCGGGAUAUCAUCAUCACUACAGCGGACAUCGCAUUGAAGAGAUCCUGUGCAUGUUGCGUGGCGGUGUGUUCACUUGGAUUGAGACCAGCAGUGCUUUUUUAAACAGUGGAUUCUUUACGACAUCAAGAUGUGGUUUGGGAAGGACCUUCAUCUAAAUCUGAAGACAGGACAUACUGGCUCAAAAAGGUGUUUCUGAUAUGGAGAAAAACCCUGCACUGCUCAUUUUAUUUCUUCAUCUUGAGAAUACAGCAAGUUUACCUUUUGUCUGGAAAAUGAUUCAGCAAAGCUAACACCAACAACAAUUUUUCAUGGCACUUUAAACCACCUUGAUGUGAGGAGCCAGCAUCAGAAUGGAUGGUGUCAAUAUCCUGAAUGAAGAAGUGGAGGUAACAGAGGUGGAUCUCAAGACUUGGCCAUGUUCUAGAUUAUAACUGG